AACUGCAUUGCAGCUGGCCGGCUGUUCGUGGAAGAGGCCAUCCACGAUGAAUUCGUCACCAGAGUGGUGGAAGAGAUUAAAAAGAUGAAAAUUGGUGAUCCCCUGGACAGAUCUACGGACCACGGGCCCCAGAACCACAAAGCCCAUUUGGAAAAGCUGCUGCAGUACUGCGAGACGGGGGUGAAGGAGGGGGCCACACUGGUGUACGGAGGAAGACAGGUACAGAGGCCAGGCUUUUUCAUGGAGCCCACUGUGUUCACAGGCGUGGAGGACCACAUGUACCUCGCCAAAGAGGAAUCCUUCGGGCCUAUCAUGGUCAUCUCUAAAUUCCAAAAUGGGGACAUCGAUGGGGUGCUGCAGAGAGCAAACAACACUGAGUACGGCCUGGCCUCAGGGGUC
rnacentral:lncRNA from 1 species